GACGAACGCUGGCGGCGUGCUUAACACAUGCAAGUCGAGCGAUGAAACUUCUUCGGAAGUGGAUUAGCGGCGGACGGGUGAGUAACACGUGGGCAACCUGCCUCAUAGUGGGGAAUAGCCUCUCGAAAGGGAGAUUAAUACCGCAUAAGAUUGUAGUUCCGCAUGGAACAGCAAUUAAAGGAUUUAUUCGCUAUGAGAUGGGCCCGCGGCGCAUCAGCUAGUUGGUGAGGUAACGGCUCACCAAGGCGACGAUGCGUAGCCGACCUGAGAGGGUGAUCGGGCACAUUGGGACUGAGACACGGCCCAGACUCCUACGGGAGGCAGCAGUGGGUAAUAUUGCACAAUGGGGGAAACCCUGAUGCAGCAACGCCGCGUGAGUGAUGACGGUCUUCGGAUUGUAAAGCUCUGUCUUUAGGGACGAUAAUGACGGUACCUAAGGAGGAAGCCACGGCUAACUACGUGCCAGCCGCCGCCGUAA
rnacentral:rRNA from 1 species